UUUUUAAAAAAGCAAAAAGUAAUUCGAGAUCUCGAAUUACACAACUCGUUCCCACAGAUUAUCAAUUCGUUCCCACAGAUUAACAAUUCGUUCCCUCGAUUUAAACAAUCCGUUCUCUCGGAUUGUAACUCGUUUUUCUCGGUUUGAAAAAUCUGAUCGAACGGAUUUCAAUUCGUUAUUACGUUUUGAUGAAUCCAUUCAUUCCUCAUAUCCCUCAUAUCAAUCAGUAGCUGAAACGGGCACUAGAAUGGAACAUAAAUUCUGAUUGUCAUGAUGGUGUAUUUUGAGGAAAAAUGCUGUCAAACCUGGUUAGAAGAAUUAAACGAUUUGCAGAACUGUGGUCUUUUUACGAGUGACAAGUUGGACACUAACCUGUUUCAGUUUUGUUUUCUGAAAAUACUUCCGAAUGAGUUAGACGAAGUGACACAUGUGUGGAAUGCUCAUCAUCUGCAAUUCACCAACGAAGGAAGUGUUAGAAGUUGUCCUUCUAAUGUAUAUCUUUUCCCGGAACUAUUUCAAGUUCAAGAAUAUAUUUAUCCGGUCGAUGUAAAGGUUCUUGAGCUUUCUCGACGUGAAUGUACAAUCGGAAACGCACUUCCCUGUGACGAAGAAAUAUUUGAACUUGGUUGCAUUUUCAUGGAGGAACAAUACUUUGAUCUACCGUUAACUAUUGUUGAGGGAAAGGACCUAUCCGUAAAUCUUCAUUCCUGGAUCAUGAACAUGUUGUAGUCUUAUGAUGAAACUGCCACCGUUUUCAAUAUACAAGGCGAUACAAUCGAUGCAUUGAUAGUGGGUUUUUUUUAUAUGAUAUAUAUGACAUAUUAAGCCCACUUAAAAAAUUUAGGGCUUAUAUAAAACAAUAAGCAUAUCUCGACAACAAUUUUGGUCCAAUAAAAUGACAAAACCUCAAUAAAUAUAACACUGUGCAUUAGCAUAGAUGAUUCUGUAAUUUGCAAAAAGAAAGCGGGCGCUUAAGAUGUGCAUUGUAGAUUCGGCGUAAUCUUGGAACACAAGGAGGGCAAAAAUUUCAUUUUAUCAUAAUAUGGGUCAUUUACAGCUGUUUUAAAAUGAUUUUGUUGUUUCUGGGUCUUCUCUCGACAAAUUUGAAAUAUGUUUAGAUGACACAUUGAAACAUUUAAAAUGUCGGUUUUUUUUUAAGUUGUAGAGAUGACUUAUCAAUAUGUACUUUUUCAAAAUAUUUUUGAGGGUAAAUUCAAGUCUAGAGAUAUAACAGUUAUUUCAAACACUACAUGUAUUUUAUAUCGCAUAUUAUAUCUAUAAUAAUAAUUUUUUUUAU